rnacentral:rRNA from 1 species
AUUGAACGCUGGCGGCAUGCUUUACACAUGCAAGUCGAACGGCAGCACGGGAGCAAUCCUGGUGGCGAGUGGCGAACGGGUGAGUAAUACAUCGGAACGUGCCCAAUCGUGGGGGAUAACGCAGCGAAAGCUGUGCUAAUACCGCAUACGAUCUACGGAUGAAGGCAGGGGAUCGCAAGACCUUGCGCGAAUGGAGCGGCCGAUGGCAGAUUAGGUAGUUGGUGAGGUAAAGGCUCACCAAGCCGUCGAUCUGUAGCUGGUCUGAGAGGACGACCAGCCACACUGGGACUGAGACACGGCCCAGACUCCUACGGGAGGCAGCAGUGGGGAAUUCUGGACAAUGGGCGAAAGCCUGAUCCAGCCAUGCCGCGUGCAGGGUGAAGGCCUUCGGGUUGUAAACUGCUUUUGUACGGAACGAAACGGCCUUUUCUAAUAAAGAGAGCUAAUGACGGUACCGUAAGAAUAAGCACCGGCUAACUACGUGCCAGCAGCCGCGGUAAUACGUAGGGUGCAAGCGUUAAUCGGAAUUACUGGGCGUAAAGCGUGCGCAGGCGGUUAUGUAAGACAGUUGUGAAAUCCCCGGGCUCAACCUGGGAACUGCAUCUGUGACCGCAUAGCUAGAGUACGGUAGAGGGGGAUGGAAUUCCGCGUGUAGCAGUGAAAUGCGUAGAUAUGCGGAGGAACACCGAUGGCGAAGGCAAUCCCCUGGACCUGUACUGACGCUCAUGCACGAAAGCGUGGGGAGCAAACAGG